CAGCCGUAAACGAUGCGCGUUAGGUGUAUCGACGACCACGAGUCGUCGAGGUGCCGAAGGGAAACCGUGAAACGUGCCGCCUGGGAAGUACGGUCGCAAGGCUGAAACUUAAAGGAAUUGGCGGGGGAGCACCACAACAGGUGGAGCCUGCGGUUUAAUUGGGCUCAACGCCGGAAAUCUCACCGGAUAAGACAGCAGAAUGAUUGCCGGGCUGAAGACUCUGCAUGACUAGCUGAGAGGUGGUGCAUGGCGUCAGUGACU
rnacentral:rRNA from 1 species